GCGCGCGCAGGUGGUUCGUUAAGUCGGAUGUGAAAGCCCCGGGCUCAACCGGGGAGGUGCAUUGGAAACUGGGGAGCUUGAGUGCAGCAGAGGAAGGUGGAAUUUCCUGUGUAGCGGUGAAAUGCGUAGAUAUUUGAAGGAACACCAGUGGCGAAGGCGACUUUCUGGUCUGUUACUGACGCUGAGGCGCGAAAGCGUGGGGAGCAAACAGGAUUAG
rnacentral:rRNA from 1 species